AUUAAAUGUAAAUAACACUCGGAUGAGAAGAUGAAAACAAGCUCCUGGUCUUGUUCAUGGGGGGGAAAGGGUGGUGAAUUCUCCCUCUCUGUAGUAUGGCAGAGUUAAGUUUCUGCUUUCCCUUGGUCUGACGAUUUUGCCUUUUUGUGGUGGGAUUCCAGCUAAUGCUGCAAAGCUUUCAGGUUCAAUGGGACCAUCACUCUCUGCAGUUUAUCAGUCUUUGGGCGAUGGUCGCACACUACCUUCCUGCAGAAGCCAUGGAAACAUUCUCAGUCUCAUUUCAAAAUUGGGUUUUGAGUGGUUACUAGUUGUAGACUGCCGAAUCAUGAUAAUCCAUCAAAAGCCACGUGGAAAAGGUUGGUAGUAUCCUAAAUGGGACUGCCUGAAACAAAUCUCUUCAAAUUCUACUGUAGCUGCUUCAAAAUGGCUUUAAACAUCCAUUUGCUCAGGAUUUUGUGUGACAUUAUAUGUGUGUGCUUCACAUGUCUGCAAAAAGAGAGGUACCUCAGAAACAACACCUACUAUGGUCUUCAAACACUGUUUGACAAAAAACAGAUGAGAUGAAAGAACAGAAGCUUCAUUGUCUUUUCAGGACUCCUUUAUUCAUCUUGAUAAAUCAGGAGUCUGCUUCCUCCACAAAAUUUGAAAUUAAUUUUUCCAGCUCCUGAUUCUAUUCUAGUGUUUCUCCCAUAGUGUGGAAGGAAGAAGGAGUUCUUGUUGCUGUUAUUAUAUAAUUGCAUACAUUCCUCUAUGACAAAAUGGGUUGUUCCCUUAUGGAUUUUCUUAAAAAUGAAACCAUCAGAGUGAUAUUAACUGAUUUAGUUGGCAAUGUAGAGACGAGUUGAACUCUGCUCUUAGAGUCUUUUUUGUGAGUAAACAGGCUGCUGUAACUUUGAGAUGUCAGGGGUCCAGUGUGUGUGCUCAAGUGCAUCUUAUGGAAGUGGGGUUUAUGAGGAGUCACAGGCAUAACAGAAGGAGUAUAACCCCUGAGCAGUGGGAUGGCUUAGCAACACUCCCAUAACUAACACUUGUGCCAUCAGAUAAUCUCUGACAAGCUCUCUCACGUGUUGUCCCUCAGCAUUCCAGUACUCCCGGCUCAAAUACUAAUUCCAAACCUAAAUGAGGACUUUUCCUCCACUUUUGAGCAGGAUGGGGUAUGGAUGAGAUAAGAAGAACUCCUUACCAAACAAACCAACUCACAAAACCUUGCCCUGUAUAUGAAUAUUAGCCUUGGAGGGGAGAUAUGCAUCUAUUCAAACUCUUAUGUUUAGCUUCAUGUCAAUGCAAAAAUAUAUAGAAAUCUAUUGCUUGCUGUUGACCUGCUGUGAACACAAGACCAGGCCAUACAGAAAGGCACUGGCCUCUCAUCCUGUGUGAGCUUCUAGAAGUUACUCAGUACUAUACAGACACAUUUGCUUUGAUUUUCCAGCUUAAUUCCAGCAGCUGCCUUUGCCAGAAUAUCUUGUGAGCUGGAAAGAUAGAAUAGUCUUACUGCCCCCCACUUCCUGCCAGACAGUGUCCCCCUGGAACACUUGUGUGUUUUUCUCUUUUGAAAUGAAGCGAGGAAGGAUGGUAAAGACACAGAAGCACCGUAAAUGGCUAUUGAUAGUCAUUUUAAUAUCUCUCAGCUUUGACCCUGGAGCAGGCUAUUACCCAUCAGCUGUAUUGCACUAAGGAUAAAAUAAGAAACAAGAAGUUACAGUGGAGAAAACACCUUGUGCCAACUCUCCAUCCUGUGGGAACCUCUGUUCCUAAAGCUUUGAGAAGAAUGAAGCAAUUAAUGUCUGAGAGGCUAAAGUGGAUAUUGCUCAUUAAGGUGUACUUCAUGUGUAUUUCUCCUGUUGUACUUGUGACUAACAUUGGCCUCUGGGGGCUACCUGAGGGAUAAAGUGUUGCUGCUUUAAGCAGACUGCAGGGUAAUGGCUGCUGUGGAUGCCACAGGAAGCUGGUAAUGAAGGGGAAGGUGGGCACUGAGUAGGGGAAAGUUGGCAAUUUCUGCUUGGCAGGUGUGUUUGGUGCAACAAAUCCCCCAGACUACAUCACCUAGAACCUUUUGUUUUAGCCCUAUCCCCACAUUUUGAGCUGCUUUUACUUACGAGAAAGGUAUGUCUGGUGUAUUUGUGCCCUUGGGGAUAGGUGUACAUUUCCGAUAAAUUCUGCAAGUGAGGUGUGUGUGGGAAAUACUGAAAAAUUACUGAUGCUUCUAAAAGGUUUUUAGUCUUAAUGCUCUUUCAGGCUUUCUCUGCUCACACCUGAGGUUCUGCAAAUGGUGGGUUUGAUUGUAGAAAAGGCCUAAGUGUUGUCUUUCCCACCCUUUCUCUGAAGCUAUACAAAAAUAACCGGAGGGGUGCAGGGGAGCAUAGGCAAACUGAACGGACUCAAAUUUAGAAACUAUUUAAAAGUAUUAUUUUCAUGCUGUGAAGGGAAGAGAGGCAAUAUAUUGCUCCACUGACAAAAUUGUUUGUUUUAUUUGGGGAGUAGACAGUGAGCAGCAAUAUAAGGUUGACAUCUCUCCAAGUUAGCAUUCAAAAUAAAACAUUCCUGGAACCACA
ensembl:lncRNA